AUCCUCCAAGGCUAAAUACUCCUGACUGACCGAUAGUGAACCAGUACCGUGAGGGAAAGGCGAAAAGAACCCCGGCGAGGGGAGUGAAAAAGAACCUGAAACCGUGUACGUACAAGCAGUGGGAGCCCCACCACCAAAGCAUUCUCUGGUGUUGAAGGCCCUGCAAAGCAGCAUCGCGGUGGCGGAGCGUCGUUUGCGACGCCCAACACACAAAACAAGCGGUGAGUGCUUUGGGGUGGGGUGACUGCGUACCUUUUGUAUAAUGGGUCAGCGACUUAUAUUCUGUAGCAAGGUUAACCGUAUAGGGGAGCCGGAGGGAAACCGAGUCUUAAUUGGGCGUUAAGUUGCAGGGUAUAGACCCGAAACCCGGUGAUCUAGCCAUGGGCAGGUUGAAGGUUGGGUAACACUAACUGGAGGACCGAACCGACUAAUGUUGAAAAAUUAGCGGAUGACCUGUGGCU
rnacentral:rRNA from 1 species